rnacentral:rRNA from 1 species
GACGAACCGUGCGAACGUUGUUCGGAAUCACUGGGCUUAAAGGGCGCGUAGGCGGGCUCACAAGUCAGGGGUGAAAUCCCACGGCUCAACCGUGGAAGUGCCUUUGAUACUGUGGGUCUUGAGGGAGGUAGGGGCGUGCGGAACUUCCGGUGGAGCGGUGAAAUGCGUAGAUAUCGGAAGGAACACCGGUGGCGAAAGCGGCGCGCUGGGACCUCUACUGACGCUGAGGCGCGAAAGCCAGGGGAGCAAACGG